rnacentral:rRNA from 1 species
UACAGAGGUCUCAAGCGUUGUUCGGAUUCAUUGGGCGUAAAGGGUGCGUAGGCGGCGCGGUAAGUCGGGUGUGAAAUCUCGGAGCUUAACUCCGAAACUGCAUUCGAUACUGCCGUGCUUGAGGACUGGAGAGGAGACUGGAAUUUACGGUGUAGCGGUGAAUGCGUAGAUAUCGUAAGGAAGACCAGUGGCGAAGGCGGGUCUCUGGACAGUUCCUGACGCUGAGGCACGAAGGUCAGGGGAGCAAACGGG